UGCUAUUGUUUGGUACUUAAAGCGAGGUUGCCCUUUGUAUAUUCGGUUUAUUGACAUGGAAUAUACAAGGGCAAGCUCUCUGUGAGUAUCAAACCUU
rnacentral:pre_miRNA from 1 species